rnacentral:rRNA from 1 species
CAGUAGCCGCGGUAAUACGUAGGUGGCAAGCGUUGUCCGGAAUUAUUGGGCGUAAAGGGCUUGCAGGCGGUUUCUUAAGUCUGAUGUGAAAGCCCCCGGCUCAACCGGGGAGGGUCAUUGGAAACUGGGAAACUUGAGUGCAGAAGAGGAGAGUGGAAUUCCACGUGUAGCGGUGAAAUGCGUAGAGAUGUGGAGGAACACCAGUGGCGAAGGCGACUCUCUGGUCUGUAACUGACGCUGAGGAGCGAAAGCGUGGGGAGCGAACAGGAUUAGAUACCCCAGUAGUCCAUGUCUCUUAUAA